GAGCAAGGGCGUCUUUGAUUUAAUGGCGUGAAUUGCAUUGAAGGUUGGCAAUACUAACGUUUAGCGAUUCUCCGUGCCUGGCAAAUCUUUUGGUUUUGAUCAUGGCCUCGAACAAGUCGCUACAUU
rfam:Cucumis sativus cultivar 9930 chromosome 2, whole genome shotgun sequence.